GUUCUGCACAAGGCAGCCGCCCGCCUUUACGGCGGGAGGAAAGUCCGGACACGCGCGCAUUCUUAGAAUGUGCAGCAAGGUAGUGGGUAACGCCCGCCGUCCGCGAGGAUAGGGAUGCGAACAGAGACGCCCGACUCGAGAGAGGAGGGGAUCCAUGCCUCUGCCGUCAGGCAGGCCGCAAGGAUCAGCUCGUGCGGAAACGCAUGAGGUGCAACGGCUAAAAUCCUACCCGCGUGCAAGGCCGUGCUUGUUUCAACCACGCGUGGAAACAAGAGUGCUGCUCGAGGUGAUCGGCAACGAUCAUCCCAGAUACAUGGUUGCCAGCCUCGCAUCGCGAGGUGACAGAAUCCGGCUUAUUCGUGCAGUAGAAAU
rnacentral:RNase_P_RNA from 1 species